rnacentral:rRNA from 1 species
UACGUAGGGGGCAAGCGUUGUCCGGAUUUAUUGGGCGUAAAGAGCUCGUAGGCGGCUUGUCGCGUCGGAUGUGAAAGCCCGGGGCUUAACUCCGGGUCUGCAUUCGAUACGGGCAGGCUAGAGUGUGGUAGGGGAGACUGGAAUUCCUGGUGUAGCGGUGAAAUGCGCAGAUAUCAGGAGGAACACCGGUGGCGAAGGCGGGUUCUCUGGGCCUUACCUGACGCUGGAGGAGCGAAAGCGUGGGGAGCGAACGGG